UAGAAUUAUUUUUAAUAAUAUAUUAGAAAUGAAAUGUUAUUCGUUUUUAAAUAUAUCUAGUUCUUUAAGAAAUAAAUUUAAUUUAUAAAUUUUAUAUUAUUUAAUUAAAUAUAUUAAUUAAAUAAUUAUUUUAUUUUAAUAUUUUAUGGGAUAAGCUAUAAAAUAAAUUUUUAAAAAUUUUAUUAAAUAAAUUUAUAAAUAUAAGCUUAUAAAUAGUUAUUAUUAAUAAAAAUGUUAUAAUUUAUUUAUAAUAUAAUAUAAUUUAAUUUUUUUUAAAUUUUUAUUAAAGUUUUUAUUAUAAUUUAAAAAAUAAAUUAAUAAUGAUUAAAUUAGUAUAUUAUUUUAUUGUAAUGAUAUAUUUAGAUGAUAAUUUUAUAUAAAGAAUUAGGCAAAAUUAAUAUUCGCCUGUUUAACAAAAACAUGUCUUUUUGAUUUAAUUUUUAAAAAGUCUAGCCUGCCCACUGAUUUUUUUAAAUGGCCGCAGUAUUUUGACUGUGCAAAGGUAGCAUAAUCAUUAGUCUUUUAAUUGAAGGCUGGAAUGAAUGGUUGGACGAAAUAUUAACUGUUUCAUGUAAAUUUUUAUUAGAAUUUUAUUUUUUAGUUAAAAAGCUAAAAUUUAUUUAAAAGACAAGAAGACCCUAUAAAUCUUUAUAUUUAAGUAAUUAUUAUUUUUUAGAUUAUUUUUAUUAUAAUUAUUAAUAAUAUUUUAUUGGGGUGAUAUUAAAAUUUAAUAAACUUUUAAUUAAUUUAUUUCAUUAAUUUAUGAAUAAAUGAUCCAUUAUUAUUGAUUAAAAAAUUAAGUUACUUUAGGGAUAACAGCGUAAUUUUUUUGAAGAGUUCAUAUCGAUAAAAAAGAUUGCGACCUCGAUGUUGGAUUAAGAUAUAAUUUAGGUGUAGUAGCUUAAUUGAUAAGUCUGU
rnacentral:rRNA from 1 species